UUUCGCAAUGCCCGAAAGGGUGACGAAGCGACGCCGCGUGAGUGAGGAAGGCCUUCGGGUUGUAAAGCUCUGUCAGGAGUUAAGAAAUAUAAGUGUGUUAAUACCACAUUUAUUUGACGAAGGCUCCAAAGGAAGCCACGGCUAACUCUGUGCCAGCAGCCGCGGUAAUACGGAGGUGGCAAGCGUUGUUCGGAAUUAUUGGGCGUAAAGAGCACGUAGGUGGGUUUGUAAGUCAGAUGUGAAAGCCUUCUGUUCAACGGAAGAAUUGCAUCUGAAACUGCGAGUCUUGAGUGUAGGAGGGGAGAAUGGAACUUCUGGUGGAGCGGUGAAAUGCGUAGAUAUCAGAAGGAACGCCGGCGGCGAAAGCGAUUCUCUGGCCUAUUACUGACACUCAGUGUGCGAAAGCUAGGGGAGCGAACGGGAUUAGAUACCCCGGUAGUCCUAGCUGUAAACGAUGGGCACUAAGUAGAGGGGUUUUA
rnacentral:rRNA from 1 species